AGAGUUUGAUCAUGGCUCAGGAUGAACGCUGGCGGCGUAGCUUAACACAUGCAAGUCGAACGAAGCAACUACCUUGCUUGCAAGAGAGUUGACUUAGUGGCGGACGGGUGAGUAACGCGUGGGUAACCUGCCUCAUACAGGGGGAUAACAGUUGGAAACGACUGCUAAGACCGCAUAACCCGCUAGUGUCGCAUGACACGGACGGAAAAUAUUUAUAGGUAUGAGAUGGGCCCGCGUCUGAUUAGCUAGUUGGUAAGGUAACGGCUUACCAAGGCGACGAUCAGUAGCCGACUUGAGAGAGUGAUCGGCCACAUUGGGACUGAGACACGGCCCAAACUCCUACGGGAGGCAGCAGUGGGGAAUAUUGGACAAUGGGGGAAACCCUGAUCCAGCGAACCGCCGCGUGAGUGAAGAAGUAUUUCGGUAUGUAAAGCUCUAUCAGCAGGGAAGAUAAUGACAGUACCUGACUAAGAAGCCCCGGCUAACUACGUGCCAGCAGCCGC
rnacentral:rRNA from 1 species